rnacentral:miRNA from 1 species
CUGGAGCUCAGAAGAAGCAGG